AGCAGCCGCGGUAAUUCCAGCUCCAAUAGCGUAUAUUAAAGUUGUUGCAGUUAAAAAGCUCGUAGUUGAAUUUCGGGAUCAAUAUGUUGGUCGUGCCUUGGUACGUACUGGCAUUAUUGGUUUCUACCUUCUGAAGAACCUCGAUGUCAUUAAUUUGGUGUCUUGGGGAAUCAGGACUGUUACUUUGAAAAAUUAGAGUGUUUAAAGCAGGCUCGCGCUUGAAUACAUUAGCAUGGAAUAAUGGAAUAGGACGUUUGAUUCUAUUUUGUUGGUUUCUAGGAUCGACGUAAUGAUUAAUAGGGAUAGUUGGGGGCAUUAGUAUUCAAUUGUCAGAGGUGAAAUUCUUGGAUUUAUUGAAGACUAACUACUGCGAAAGCAUUUGCCAAGGAUGUUUUCAUUAAUCAAGAACGAAAGUUAGGGGAUCGAAGACGAUCAGAUACCGUCGUAGUCUUAACCAUAAACUAUGCCGACUAGGGAUCGGAUGAUGUUAAUUUUUAAUGACUCAUUCGGCGCCUUAAC
rnacentral:rRNA from 1 species